rnacentral:tRNA from 1 species
AAUUCUGUAAAAUUAAAAAUAAGCGGUCAAUCCUGCCGGACUCUGGAUCCGGUGACGCCGGUUCGAAUCCGGCCGGGGCUA